ensembl:snoRNA
GAUCUGUGAUGAGAGAAAGCCAAAUCUGAGCACCAAAAGAUCAGCUGAUCUACAUGGUGUUAUGAUCUGUGUACAGUUCUGGGA